rnacentral:tRNA from 1 species
GAGGGUGUAGCUCAGUGGUAGAGUGCACGCUUAGCAUGCAUGAGGUCCUGGGUUCAAUCCCCAGUACCUCCA